ensembl:lncRNA
GUGGGCGCGGGGGCGGUAGGUGGCAUCGUCCUGCGCCAUCCGUACGGCGGGCGGGCGGCCCCGUAGGCGCGUACAGCGCGAGAUCAGCUCGGGAUUCUCGCCUUUAUGAACCCCAAACAAAAAUAAAGCAUUUCGUUACAUCGUUCAGUGCAAUUAGGCCCGUCGGAACAACGCGUCGCCUGAAACCACCCAUCCUUCCCUUCUCUAUACAUAUUAUUAUUAUUAUUAUUAGUUUUUUUUUUUUUUUUUGCAGGUGCAUAAUCCUUUCCAGCGAACCGAAAAGAAAUACUUCAGAAGGCUCUCUCAAAUCUUUCUUCUUUUUUUUUUUUUUUUAACUUUGAUUUAUAUUCUGCAGCCAUAGAAUAAACUCCAAGAAACACACGCAGCUAAUUAAUAUAUAGUUCAUUUUAUUCGGAGCACCGAUUUUCACAUAAGAGCUAUCUCAAAUAUGCUGGGACGCAUCUCCCCGUUGUAUUUUGGCGUACGGAAAUACUUCUGAUGGAAACGAAAGAAACGGAGUAAGGACACAACCAAGGAGAAAGCUCAGCAGACGCACACGGACAGCGUAUUCGUGAGACAUCUCAGGAUCCACACGUGGUUGCAAACGUGACAAGAAUGUUGGUGUCCCCGGUGAAAACAGGCAGUCAGACUGUGAGAUCACACCAUCCACAAAGGUUCUACCAGACGCUAUUCUAGUUAGUGCUCAGUUUCAGAAUGCAUAGAAUGUUUGCGCUGCAAACAAUGAUACACCAAAUCAUAAUAAUUAUAUUAAUAUUAAUAAUCGUCGUAAUAAAAUAAGUAGUUAAAUAAAUAAAUAACGCCG